CUGAAGAACAUGCAAUCUAUGUUUGGGAUCAUUUCAUAGCUCAGGCUGCUGCUGAGAAUGUGUUUUUCGUUGCUCACAGCUAUGGAGGACUUGCUUUUGUUGAACUGAUGAUUCAACGAGAAGCCGAUGUAAAAAAUAAGGUAACUGCUGUGGCAUUGACAGACUCUGUUCACAAUGUGUGGCAUCAAGAAGCUGGCAAAACGAUUCGAGAAUGGAUGAGAGAGAACUGUUGUAAUUGGGUCUCUAGCUCAGAACCAUUAGACACAUCAGUGGAGUCCAUGCUACCUGAUUGCCCCCGGGUCUCAGCAGG
rnacentral:lncRNA from 1 species